GACGAACGCUGGCGGCGUGCUUAACACAUGCAAGUCGAGCGGUAAGGCCCUUUCGGGGGUACGACGAGCGGCGAACGGGUGAGUAACACGUGGGUGACCUGCCCUCAGCUCUGGGAUAAGCCUGGGAAACCGGGUCUAAUACUGGAUAUGACUCCAUGACGCAUGUUGUGGGGUGGAAAGCCUUGUGCGGCUGAGGAUGGGCCCGCGGCCUAUCAGCUUGUUGGUGGGGUGANGGCCUACCAAGGCGACGACGGGUAGCCGGCCUGAGAGGGCGACCGGGCCACACUGGGACUGAGACACGGCCCAGACUCCUACGGGAGGCAGCAGUGGGGAAUCUUGCGCAAUGGGCGAAAGCCUGACGCAGCGACGCCGCGUGAGAGAUGACGGCCU
rnacentral:rRNA from 1 species